rnacentral:snRNA from 1 species
GGGUUUACGUGGCUGAUCUGGCUGGCUAGGUGGGUGGCUCCUUCCUCCCUCAUACCUCCAUGUGCAUCCUUCCUGAAGCUGUGUGCUUGGUUGCGUGAUCGAAAUGGACGACCACCCCCAGUAGAGGAGGACCAUUUCCUUGGUCAAGGGUACAAGAGUAGCUGCACUCCCCUGCUAGAACCUCCAAAAAAGCUUUCCAAGUAAAUAAAAUCACUCUUAUAUAUACAUUAGAAAACUUAGACUCAGAAGCUCAAGUUC